UGGAGUCGAAUGUAGGGUUGAUCCAGC
rnacentral:piRNA from 1 species